GUUCACUUAGGCAGCACGUACACUAAAACUGGAACGAUACAGAGAAGAUUAGCAUGCCCCUGCACAAGGAUGACACACAGAUUUGUGAAGCGUUUCGUAUUUCU
rnacentral:snRNA from 1 species